GACGAACGCUGGCGGCGUGCUUAACACAUGCAAGUCGAACGGAAAGGCCCUGCUUUUGUGGGGUGCUCGAGUAGCGAACGGGUGAGUAACACGUGAGUAACCUGCCCUUGACUUUGGGAUAACUUCAGGAAACUGGGGCUAAUACCGGAUAGGAGCUCCUGCUGCAUGGUGGGGGUUGGAAAGUUUCGGUGGUUGGGGAUGGACUCGCGGCUUAUCAGCUUGUUGGUGGGGUAGUGGCUUACCAAGGCUUUGACGGGUAGCCGGCCUGAGAGGGUGACCGGCCACAUUGGGACUGAGGUACGGCCCAGACUCCUACGGGAGGCAGCAGUGGGGAAUAUUGCACAAUGGGCGGAAGCCUGAUGCAGCAACGCCGCGUGCGGGAUGACGGCCUUCGGGUUGUAAACCGCUUUCGCCUGUGACGAAGCGUGAGUGACGGUAAUGGGUAAAGAAGCACCGGCUAACUACGUG
rnacentral:rRNA from 1 species